CUUCAACCCAAUCUUCCCAGUCCUGAAGCCCAAGAAACUGGGAUUGGGGUAACCUUCAUUCCCACCAAUCUCCCGAGUGCCUUUCAACAACAGCAUUCUGGGUGGGAAAAGGGCUAGCUCCCGUGUGCGGUUAUUUCGGGACAGAGGACCGCAUCUAAUACAAACAUUUGAGAAAACGGGGAGGAAAAAAAAAGAAAAGAGGCAGUGAAAAUAGGAGGGCUUAAAAAAAAAAAAGAUGGAAAGAAACAGACGCCCACCCUUGUUUUCCCUCCAAUGUCAACAAGCAAAAUGAAAACUAUUUCCAGGGUGAUCGCUCGGGGGCUAACUCGCUUCCAAUUCGGAGCAGAAGCUGAGCAAACGCUGGCUGCGGCGAGGAGGCAAGGACUGCGCGCGUAAGCGACGGUCUGGAGCAGCAGCGCAGGGGAAGGAAGAGACGCACACGCGAGCAUGUGUUACCUGGUUUAUUUCGAGACUGUUUGGUAUUGUGUUCUCUCUGAGCACCCCUCACUUGGGGAGGCCGUCAGAGACGCCCGCCGCUGAGCCGCCCCCGCCCGCCGCGCAGCGCCUGGAGCCCCAGGCCCGGCAACCCAGCGGCUCCCGAGCUCCGAGCUCGCCGCCGCCGCCCGGGCCCCGGGAACCGACGCCGGAGCCUGCGGUCCAACUGCGCUGCUGUCGGAGCGCUCAGUGCCGCCGCCGCCACCCGCGCCCCGCUCGGCACCCAUCGGUCGCCACCGCCCGCCGCGCCGCUGCCCCGCUCCCGCGCAGUCGCCGCCGCCGCCGCCGCCGCCGCCGCCGCCGCCGUUUCCCCCCGACGACUGGGUGAUGCUGGACAUGGGAGAUAGGAAAGAGGUGAAAAUGAUCCCCAAGUCCUCGUUCAGCAUCAACAGCCUGGUGCCAGAGGCCGUCCAGAACGACAACCACCACGCGAGCCACGGCCACCACAACAGCCACCACCCCCAGCACCACCACCACCACCACCACCACCACCACCACCCGCCGCCGCCCGCCCCGCAACCGCCGCCGCCGCCGCAGCAGCAGCCGCCGCCGCCGCCGCCGCCGCCCCAGGCACCGCAGCCCCCCCAGGCGCGGGGCGCCCCGGCCGCCGCCGACGACGACAAGGGCCCCCAGCAGCUGCUGCUCCCGCCGCCGCCGCCGCCGCCGCCGCCCGCCGGCGCCCUGGACGGGGCCAAAGCGGACGGGCUGGGCGGCAAGGGCGAGCCGGGCGCGGGGCCCGGGGAGCUGGCGCCCGUCGGGCCGGACGAGAAGGAGAAGGGCGCCGGCGCCGGGGGGGAGGAGAAGAAGGGGGCGGGCGAGGGCGGCAAGGACGGGGAGGGGGGCAAGGAGGGCGAGAAGAAGAACGGCAAGUACGAGAAGCCGCCCUUCAGCUACAACGCGCUCAUCAUGAUGGCCAUCCGGCAGAGCCCCGAGAAGCGGCUGACGCUCAACGGCAUCUACGAGUUCAUCAUGAAGAACUUCCCCUACUACCGCGAGAACAAGCAGGGCUGGCAGAACUCCAUCCGCCACAACCUGUCGCUCAACAAGUGCUUCGUGAAGGUGCCGCGCCACUACGACGACCCGGGCAAGGGCAACUACUGGAUGCUCGACCCGUCGAGCGACGACGUGUUCAUCGGCGGCACCACGGGCAAGCUGCGGCGCCGCUCCACCACGUCGCGGGCCAAGCUGGCCUUCAAGCGCGGCGCGCGCCUCACCUCCACGGGCCUCACCUUCAUGGACCGCGCCGGCUCCCUCUACUGGCCCAUGUCGCCCUUCCUGUCCCUGCACCACCCCCGCGCCAGCAGCACUUUGAGUUACAACGGCACCACGUCGGCCUACCCCAGCCACCCCAUGCCCUACAGCUCCGUGUUGACUCAGAACUCGCUGGGCAACAACCACUCCUUCUCCACGGCCAACGGCCUGAGCGUGGACCGGCUGGUCAACGGGGAGAUCCCGUACGCCACGCACCACCUGACGGCCGCCGCGCUCGCCGCCUCGGUGCCCUGCGGCCUGUCGGUGCCCUGCUCCGGGACCUACUCCCUCAACCCCUGCUCGGUCAACCUGCUCGCGGGCCAGACCAGUUACUUUUUCCCCCACGUCCCGCACCCGUCAAUGACUUCGCAGAGCAGCACGUCCAUGAGCGCCCGGGCCGCGUCGUCGUCCACGUCUCCGCAGGCGCCCUCCACCCUGCCCUACUGCCCGAGGUUAUCGGAAGGAUGUCAAGGAAGAGGAAGCAAGGACUCCAAGAGAGCUCACUCUCCAGGAUUGCGUCAGCGCUUAAGAGGUGGAGCCUAGUUGUUCCAUGACUAUAGGCAGAGGUGGGCCAGCGCUGGGACCUUAAGCUUUGCAGAUGAUAGAAAGGAGGAGCUGAAGGAUGAAGACGGAUCCAUGUCAUUGUGAAUUUGUGUUUCACAGCUGCUGUCGGGCAUUCCUCCAUUUGAUUCAGUGGUUACAUGGAUGACCCAUUCCAGCCCAACUCAAGUGUCCUAGUAGAGACUUCUUUGGUCUAAUAUGGUAGGUCCUUUUAAUGACACUGAGUACUGUGUACCUACUCUUCUCCAUUGCGACAGAGAUCUCCUCCGACACCAUUGCCAAAUAAAUCAACUAAGAAAGGAGACUGGGAGCAAAGGCAGCCAAAUAAAGACUUGAGUAGAAAGAGUAGUGCCCUCUUGCUGGAGUUCUGCUGGAAAAUUUGGGCAAAUGUCAUAUUUGGGAAGCAUGUUUACAGAGCUGAGUCUGAGAAGAACAAAUAAACAGAUUGUCAUGAGACUGAAGGGGAUGGGAUUGAGGUUGGUCCUGAGGAAAAUAUAGGAUAGGCGACGACUUAAAAAUUAGAAAUGAGCACCCUCCCUCCACAGCCCAUCCACUUUUCUGAUUCCUCUAGGUAUGGAGGACUGGAAAGGGGACCAUAAAAUGAAGGGAUUGGAAAUAGAGGGAGGAGAUCAAGUGUGAAACAUUAAUAGUAACGGAUGGUGAUCUAACUGGGAAAGUUAGCUCCUUUUCCUAGUAGGAGGCAAAGGUGAUUUUCACAAUUGUAUACCUGGCAGGUAUAUUGUGUAGGUGUGAGAGCUGCCACCAGUUCCUGACACUAGGCUGGAAAAAUUUGCCAGAAUGAGUCUGUACCUGAAGAAAUGGAACUCUCCUCUCAACUCUAAGAUUCUCCCCAUCUUCAGAGUCCUCUAACCCUUCCCCAAAAGAAAGGAACUGAAAGAAAAUAAAAAGGGGGUGAAGUGGGAAUGGAAUAAGACUCAGUAUUUGACUCAGGCAAAUGUCAGGCAGGUAUUUUGCUAAUUGCCUUCACUUGUGGAGGAGAAAGAAGGCUGCUUAGGAGAGAAAAAGAGUGAGUAUGCAGGAAGAGAACAGAGAGGUGAUAAAAAUUCCUUGGCAACCCAGUGACUGGGGCCAGUAGGAAAAAAAAAACUUUAAUUGUAGGUCUGUGUGGGAACACGGAAGGCUAACUGUUAAAUGUUAGCUAACUGCUAAAUGUUUUUGCUUUGUUCUGUUUUCCUGUGUGUUGAUGUAGCUCUGAAAAUUAUGAGAAAACAUGAUCUGCACGCCUUGUCCGGAAAAAAAAUUACAACGGGAAAGGCAUUCAUGUCAGAAAUAGCCAGUCUUGUCCUCUAGAAAACCCCUUUUCUUUAGAUAUUGUCUUCGAAUUCACACAUAUACUAACCAGACACUAGUUCAAGAAAGAAAGGGAGGGGGUCGGUGGAAGAAGGAUCAGUUUCCCCUUGGUAUUAGCAGCAUGCUUCUCUAGCUUUGCCUUUUACACUAGUUAGGCAAAGCAAUCUUUUUGUGACUUCUAUAUAAAUAUUUUCAUUUUUAAAAGUUUUAAAAUAUUCCUUUUGUGAGACUAUUAUUUUACAAAAUAUCAGCAAAAAGAAAAAAAAGUGAAGCGUUUGUUUGAAGGGAUAAUUUCUUUGAAAGUCGACUCAAUCUGCAGGAGAGAGCCUGCUUUGCUGCGACUGAAGGUUGCUCUGCUCCUUCCUGGUAUCCCAGGCUGUGUCCGUGCAUUGAGAAUGAACUGAGAAGGAGGAGUUCUCUAGAACUCUUCACGAAGUACUGGUCUACCACCUGAAAUAAAAAACCCAAUCCUAAUUAAAAUUAUAUUUUAAAGAAAACAUUCUCAGUUGUGAUUAUUUGUUUGAAUUGUUUCUUUGGUUAAGAAGGAUCUAUUAUUUGUUCCAAUAAGAAAAUGAAAAGAAAUUAACAUUACCAGCCAAAGUUCUCUGGAUCCUACUAUGGAUCAUUAAGUGUGGUUUUAA